GAAGUGGUCGGAGGAUUUGACAAAUCGCUCAGCAACUGGCUCAUAAUCCUGAGCCUAUCGCUGCGCAUCUUGUGCCAACAUUUCGUUUUUGACCCUUGGACCCUCCCCUAACUCCCAGAAUCCUUUGGAGCAGCCAAGAGGAUAAUAGACGUUCCGGUUUACAGAAGAACUGCACAAGGAACUAUGGACCAAGCAAAAAGGAGCAGAGAGAUGUUCAAUAGCUUCUUUCUCCAAAUGCAGGGCCUUGCUUCUUAAGGACGAGAGAACUUUGGAUUGAUAGCUCCAUCAAAUUGAGAGCUUAUGCCUACUCUCAGCCAGUGCACUUGGCUUCUGCAGCAUCUUCUUCUGCCAGAUAUAUUGUGGAAAUUAUUAUGGUGAUUUUUUCCACUUCAGUGAAGCAGACGUCUGGAUCCUUUGUGAGCCUCUUGAUCUUUAUUCCCUACCACCCCCACCAAUAUGCAACCAAAGUCUUGUUGGCUCAAUGAAUCUUUAUGGUCUCAUUUUAUAGAAUCCCCAAAGAAGAGAAGUAUGGCUGUGGUUUCCAGAAUGUUAAUUGAUAACAGUUCUUGGCAACAGUGCUCUUCCUGGCUUUCGCUCUUUAACCUACUCCUUCCACCCAUAAAAAUAUCAUCAUUCCUGAGUAGAUUGGCACCAGUCUGAAGUUGCCCUCUCUCUCUUUCUCACCUCUCUCUCUCCU